GCGUGAGUGAUGAAGGCCCUAGGGUUGUAAAGCUCUUUCACCGGUGACGAUAAUGACGGUAGCCGGAGAAGAAGCCCCGGCUAACUUCGUGCCAGCAGCCGCGGUAAUACGAAGGGGGCUAGCGUUGUUCGGAAUUACUGGGCGUAAAGCGCACGUAGGCGGACGAUUAAGUCAGGGGUGAAAGCCCGGGGCUCAACCCCGGAAUUGCCUUUGAUACUGAUCGUCUUGAGACCGGGAGAGGAGAGUGGAAUUCCCAGUGUAGAGGUGAAAUUCGU
rnacentral:rRNA from 1 species